UGGUCUAUGUGAAUAUUAAACAAAGGAAGCAGAUGUAUUCAUGACAAAAUUGUGUUUUGGUGAUGGUGAUGUGUUUGUACAUCUUACUUUACUGAACAUUCUUGCUGCUUACAAUUAUCUCUAUCUAUAAUGAACUUGGCCCAGUAGUUUCAGUGGAAAAUGUUAGUCAAAAUUUACAUAUUUUAUGAAAAUUGUUAAAAAUUGACUAUAAAGGACAAUAACUCCUUAGGGGUCAAUUGACCAUUUU
rnacentral:lncRNA from 1 species